CCUACGUGAGGCAGCAGUGAGGAAUAUUGGUCAAUGGACGAGAGUCUGAACCAGCCAAGUAGCGUGAAGGAUGAAGGUGCUCUGGGUUGUAAACUUCUUUUAUAUGGGAAUACAAUGAUCCACGAGAGGCUUUUCGUAUGUACCUUAUGAAUAAGGAUCGGCUAACUCCGUGCCAGCAGCCGCUGUAAUACGGAGGAUCCGAGCGGUAUCCGGAUUUAUUGUGUUUAAAGGGUGCGUAGGGGGGGUGUUAAUGCAGGUGUUAAAGUUCGUGGCACAACCCUAGAAUAGCAGUUGAAACUGGCAGGCUUGAGUAUGCUAGAGGCAGGCGGAAUGCGUGGUGUAGCGGUGAAAUGCUUAGAUAUCACGCAGAACUCCGAUUGCGAAGGCAGCACACUGGAGUAGAACUGACGCUGAGGCACGAAAGUGUGGGUAUCGAACAGGAUUAGAUACCCCAGUAGUC
rnacentral:rRNA from 1 species